GUUUCGAGUAUAUGGGCGUUCGGGACAAAAAUCAUAACCUCUAAAUUAAUCAAUUUUCGACCUAAGUUCUCUAACACUUUCUUGAAGAGAAUUCAAAUAUGCAUUGAUUGGCACAUAAGAACCUGGUUUCGUUUAAAAAAAUUUGAUGACGUAGAUUAUUGGCGGAAAGAGCCGAACUGGCUUCGCGCAUUGACAGAGCUUAGUGAGAGCAGGAGGACGGUAUAGUGGGAGACGGCGGCAUUAGCAGCGGCGA